UCCCUCCAAACAGUAAAAGAAUAUUAUAAAGCUAAAAGGUAAAACAAUAAUUUCUAAUUAAAAUUCAAUUAUUAGAAAAAGUAAAAAAAAACAAACCAGCCAACUGUUUUCUUGUAAAAGACAAAAGGCUGGAAAAUAAUAAGAAAAGAAAUUGAAGAAAUAACAAAACACGUAAACCCUAAAAUAAUUAAGAGAACAAGAUAAUCACCGCGAGGCGGCGACCGGAGAGGGGCGAGGAGCGAGGAGCGGCAAGGUGCUGAUACGCCGGCGGCGCUGGAGAUCCGACAAGGAGUCUCCCCUUUCUCCGCUUCCUCGCUUCAGCGCUGCACUCAAGUACUAAGUUGUUGGUUCACCGGUUGCUACGAGUCGUCGAGCCAACGGUGGGCCGGUGGCGAUGGAGAAGGCCGGCGGUCCGACAGCGAGGGUGAGGACCGACGGCUAGGGACGGUUCGAAGACUAAGAGAGGCGAGAGAGAAAGUGGUGAAUUUGAACAGGUAAACCCUAAAAUGUGAGUUUGGGCUGGGUGGGUACGUACCUUAUUUUCAAAAUCCGAAUCCAAGCCGUCCCCGGUUUCAUCUGAACCGUACCCAAAUAUGAACCCCGUACCCGCCCGAUUGGAUUCGCCCUGGGUACGUAUCCUGGGCGUACCCGUACCGUACCCGUACCGUACCCGUACCCGGUACGGGAAACGGCACCUCCCAGGCGUACCCGGGCUUCAUAGAAGAAGGAUACAUCCUCAAGAUGCCUUCAAAACAGAAAAUAUAUGAUGACAAAGAGAGAGAUACAGCUGGAGGACAAGGUGUCCUCACAGUGAAUGACAAAAUAUUUACAAGUUAGCCCAAUUACUUUCUAAUUCCUUUGAAAGUUCCAGGUGCCUUAGCCAUAAGGGACGCAAACAAAGUUAUUUUAUUCCAUAAUAAAUAAGAAGGGAAAGCAAACUGUAGAAAAGAUAAGAGCGUCCCAUCCCAUUCCAGCAUUUCCAGCCAAGUGCAACUUUGACAGAACCUUCUCCUUCCCCAAAACAAAUUUGCAACCACUCUUUUGUAUGCAUAGGACGAACCCAAACUUGCUAACUCGUAAUGAAGUAAAACAUAUGAACAAGACUCCCCACUAGCUCGGAAAAGCAAGCAAAUGUCUGCAAAUAACAAAUCUGAGAAGCAAAGCACAAACCUCUUACCAAGCUGAACUGGACAAGUUCAUCAACUAGCUUUUGCCGAGCUACAUCAAGUCGUCCACCCAUGAAAUACUUCUUUAGUUUCACCCAGUAGCCACAAACAUUAUAACCAUCAACAAGCAAGACAGGUACAACACUAUCAACAACCUGACUUGUACUGCAUUGAAUUUUAGAACCGAAGUAUCUUCAUCAGAUGAGAAGCAAAAGCUAAAUAACUAUAGGUUAUAUCCACGGGGGCUAAAAUAACUCUAGGUUAUAUCCACGGGGAAACUUACUAAUAGAGUGACAAGGUUGGAUCCUUAUAAAGCUCUGCAUCUGGGGGAAGGUCCUCCUUCUCCACCUUCUUCCGACGAUAGCUAGUAGCUGGCUUAGGUGUGCAGGAUUUGCUUUUCUGGAAUUCCUACAAAAAUAAUUACCUGGAGAUUGGAGAUCUGAUCGUCAUAACAAACCAGAUCUGUUCAUACGCUGGAAACAUAAGUACCUUCCACAACUUCAAAAAUUGCCAAUUCUGCUUAACAUUUGUUGUGAUCCUUGGAGGUGGGUCAGAGUCCUACAUAAGGGCAAAUUAGGUCAACUUCAACUCAAUAUUCCUCAAGAAAGGUGCAUUCACAUUAGUGAUCAGUCGAAGCAAAGUUGCAAACUAUCUGACAAUAGAAAACUUGAAUACAGUCUUGGAUAUUAUUCCCAAAAAUAGAAAGUGAAACUACAAUGAACAGACUAAUGGAAGGGCACUGCAGGGAUUCGAGGAAUGACUAUAUAAAUACGGCUAUGGGUAGCUUCAGGGAAUAAGUAGAGAAGUGGUUAGGUGUAAUGGACAGUACCUCCAAGCCAGCUAUACACUUGGUCUACAACACAAGACACAUGAAAAGACAAGAAGAAUCAGCAACAGCACUGCAGGGAACCAACAACAACAAUAUGUAGGAGCAGGGGUAGAAGCCAUUAGCAGCAUGAGGACAAACAACCUAAUUAAUGUAAUGUACUUGCCUAAAUGCCUUGAGAAUAUAAGUAGAAUGAAAGGGAUAGAGAAGGGUAUUGUGUAUUGAGAAGUAAAGUGAGAUUUGUAACCUAAAGUUACUGCUAUGGAUAGUAGUAGCCUCAAGCUACUGUUUUGUAACCAACUUUACCUUUCUGGGAAUUCAGUAAUCAAAGCUUCCAUCUUUC